rnacentral:tRNA from 2 species
CGGGGCGUGGCGCAGCCUGGCUAGCGCGCUUCCUUGGGGUGGAAGAGGUCGGAGGUUCAAAUCCUCUCGCCCCGACCA